AUUGAACGCUGGCGGCAUGCCUUACACAUGCAAGUCGAACGGCAGCACGGGUGCUUGCACCUGGUGGCGAGUGGCGAACGGGUGAGUAAUACAUCGGAACGUACCUUAUCGUGGGGGAUAACGCAGCGAAAGCUGUGCUAAUACCGCAUACGCCCUGAGGGGGAAAGCGGGGGAUCGCAAGACCUCGCGCGAUUAGAGCGGCCGAUGCCUGAUUAGCUUGUUGGUGGGGUAAAGGCCCACCAAGGCGACGAUCAGUAGCUGGUCUGAGAGGGCGAUCAGCCACACUGGGACUGAGACACGGCCCAGACUCCUACGGGAGGCAGCAGUGGGGAAUUUUGGACAAUGGGGGCAACCCUGAUCCAGCAAUGCCGCGUGAGUGAAGAAGGCCUUCGGGUUGUAAAGCUCUUUUGUCAGGGAAGAAACACCGGCUCUAACACAGUCCGGGAAUGACGGUACCUGAAGAAUAAGCACCGGCUAACUACGUGCCAGCCGCCGCCGUAA
rnacentral:rRNA from 1 species